rnacentral:rRNA from 1 species
CCCUUAGAUGUUCUGGGCGGCCCGCGCACUACAUUGACACUAGCAAAGAGAUCCUAGAUUGAAUUCUUUGGGGUAUUCUUCUAAAUGGUGUCGUGACUGGGAUAAAUCCUUGUAAUUAUUGGUUUUGAACGAGGAAUUCCUUGUAAUCGCGGUUUAUCAGCUCGCGUUGAAUGCGUCCCUGCCCUUUGUACACACCGCCCGUCGCUCCUACCGAUGGAUCGUCCGGUGAAGCUCACGGAGUGACUGUUCACGCAACGGUUUACGAAGUGAAAUGGACCUCACGAUUUAGAGGAAGGAGAAGUCGUAACA